rnacentral:lncRNA from 1 species
CUAAGGUAAGCCUUAAUUCCUUCCUCGUUCCUGCUUCCUUCUCUUGUGCUUAUAUUUCUUUUGGAUAUUCUCUUUCAUUUCAUACUUUAGAAGUAUGUUCUGCACCUCCUUCAUAUAUAUUCCAAAUCCUUUCUUUGUGACAUAUUAUGAAUUGGCAAUCAGGAUGAGAGACAGGAAGCAUGGGAUUUCUUAGCGUUUCUUCUAAGAUAUACAACCAUGACCAGAACAUUGCCGAGCCGGAGUCCCUAACUACGAAGACACCUAAGAAUUUAAUCCAGUACUCUACAGCGUCUCACCAAAAACUGACGAGAAAGAACCUCUAACUACACUCUUCAUAGGUAUGAUGUCUUGGGUUGAUAAUCUGAUAUCUUUACCCCUCAACUUCCAGCUUUUGUGGUUUAAAAUUAAAGUACAUAACUCUACUGUUUAUUGUUUUCAAUAAGAUCGAGCAGUUUCACCAACUUUGAGAGUCUCAAACAUGAAUGUUGAUUGUUGGGACUGUUGUUUGACAAGGAAGUCAGACAACACUUGUUGGCGCCUCUACGUGUUAUGCCGAUCCGAAAUUCCAGUCAUUAGUACUUCUAUUUGUCAUGACACAGUUGAAUCGUCGUGUCAUUGACACCGGUACCUGCUGCUGAAUCAAAGCUUCGUGUCGUUGGCAUCAAUCAAUUAGACAGAACCAAAAGCUUCGUUCCGUUGGCACCGAGGCCUCCAAGAUAUUUUUCCCUUUCGCUGCAGAAUCUGUCCGGGACAGUCAUCUUUAGGCAUCUGUGGAGAAAACCAUCAUAUGUUGUCGUAGGAACAUCGGAAACACAAGCCGUCUGAUCUUCUUGACACUAUACUUCAAAUACCUCAACAUAUCAAAAAUUUGGGGCGAAACUCCUUCCGUAGCUUCUCAGGUAUUAUUUUGCAAUUUCGUUUCAGUUGCUGCCGUGCUCAAAUUUACAGCUUUGCACGCCUUCACCAAAAUAUCCAUAUCUUGGCGUAGCAAUGUUGCAAUCACGAGCGAUUUGUGGCGUCAGAAACUAGACUUCCAGAGCUACAAACUAUAUAAAGAUCACAAUCAGAUCGACCCUAUAUCUUCCCAGAUAUAUUCUAGAAGUUAGGCGACGAGUUUCGACAUGCGAUCUCCUUCAGCUUUGUGCGCUCUCACCGAAGUGAAACAUGUUCCAAAAUAUCUUUUUUUUUUUAACAGGCGAAGAAGUGCGUCAAGACUUCGUAUCUAUUGAGCUAUGGCGUAGACGACUUCUUGCAACUUAGCGCAUGAGCAUCCUCUUCUUAUAGUUGGCCAGAGAUGUACAUGGCAUUCCAAGUCCCAGUUUUCGUGAAGAAGUAGAAGAAGCACUAUCUUCUUGCAAUUUGUCAUAGAAGGCUGGAUGAAGUGUUCCUUCCUUGAGGCUUGGUGAGAAAGAGGCUUGCGGCGACCGUAUUCGAUUCUUGAAGAGCGAGCACAUGGCACCUCUCAUCCUCGCCAAUUGGCGCGGAAGAGGCUUGGAGUUGGAGAGACUGUAUUCUUCUAUGCAAGUGUGCAUGUGGCGCAACUCAUGAUUCGUGCAGAUUGGCGCGGAACAGGCUUGGAGUUGGAGCGACUGUAUUCUUCUUUGCAAGUGAGCAUGUGGCGCAUCUCAUUCUUGCGGCUUGGCGAAAUUGACACUACUUGGAGCAGUCCUUUCCAACCUCGACGAGCAAGUGCUUGGCACAUCUCCGCAAAACUAUUCAUUCUUUGACGUAGGUGCGAUGAAAUCUCGAGCCGCUUGCUUUUGAAGAAUCAAUAUUUGAAAGGCUGCAUCCCAUAAAAUAAAAAAUUCGCGGAUAAAUUCCUUGAGGAUUAGCCGGAGUCGACUUUUGAAGCUGAUAUACAUGUCUGACAUUUCGAGUUUACAACACUGUAUGUUGUUAUUCGGACGCACAUAUCUCAAGCUAAGAACUUCCAAAUCGCUAGCCAUCUGUGCCACUGGAAAGAAGCUUAGAGAUAAGAAAAUUCUCAAAAUAUCAUGGAAGGAUUCCUAGCAGAUUAGCCGCAACAAUUUCCCGAAAUUAACCUAUCUAUCUAUCGAACUUGCUGUUCAGCUUUAUGCGCACUUUUGGAAAAAAUCACAUCUUGAGCUACAAGUGUCGAAAUAGUGAGCCAUCUAUUCUAUUGGAAAGAAAACUCCGAGACUUACAAUAUCUGUAAAUACCACAGCAAAAUUUUUUCAGAACAUCCGCCAUGAUAUUUUGAAGUUGCUACAGACAUUUGCCGCAGUUGAUUUCAAGAUUUGCGCACUCUAGAUAAAGAAACUCAUAUCUUGGGCUAUUAACGUCGAAAUCACGAGCCGUUUAUGCCACUGGAAAGAAGACCUAAAGAUAAGGAAAUCUUAAAAAUAUCACAGACGUAUUCCUUCCAGAUUGGCCGCAACAAUUUCUUGAAAUUGAUUGAGACAUCUGCCUUGCUACUUUUCAGCUUUGCGCGCUCCAGUGAAAAAAUUCAUAUCUCGAUCUAGGAGACUUUAAAUUGCGAUCCAUUUGUACUGUUAGAAAGUACACUCAUAAAUCUGAAAUAUAUAUGAAUUUUGUGGCAGAACCCCAUUUUGGGCUGGAAACAAAAAAUUCUCAAAAGUGCGACCUAGCUGCAGUAAACUUUCAGAUUCGUGUAGUCCCGGCAAAAAAAAUUGUAUCUUGAGCUAGGAGCCUCCAAAUCGCAAACGGUUUGUGUUGUUCGGAAUUGGAUAUCCAAAUAUACAACAUAUAAAAUGUUUGGGGCAAAACAUCUUCCAGAUGGACCGCAGUAAUUUUCCAAAGCUGAUCCCGUCGCCCGUAGAGCUUGCUUUUCAGCUCUAUGCUCUCUGACUUGUCCUACGAAUGUUUUUUUUUUCUUUUUGAAAGUGACUCUACAGUCUUGUGUGUAGUAACUUUAUCUGUGACACUUUACAAAUCUUAUCUCUUCAUUUAUUUAUUUUUUGCAGACUCGCAAAGAAGCUCAAAGGGUCCAGAUGCCAGACUGAGGUAUCAUACAAGAUGCGGAGUCACCCCUUCAACAACCGUUGCACUUGAUUUGUUGAUAGUAUUGAAGUUCAUCAAUGGCAGCUCCCAUAGUGAUUAAAGUUUUUUAAGAGAGACGACUUCUCAUAUAUGGGACCUUCAACCAAUAUUUGCACAAGAGAAGCAAACUAUCGUACUCGAAGGCUAACAACAAGAUAUGUGGUUAAGAGAUUAUCACAACUGCUGAACGCGAGAGAUAUACAUCGAGAAUGACAUCAAAUGUGGAGACGUCAUACAGACUUGGAAAAGCAUUUAAGACGCAUCAACAACAAAGCCUAGUUUAUGAUCAUCUUCAUGAUUUAGGCUUUUGUAUAGAAAAAUGUCUAGAUGUCUAGUUCCUUUGUCUUUGUAUUUUUGGAAAUAUCAACUUUUGUACUAUUGAAG